rnacentral:rRNA from 1 species
UGCCAGCCGCCGCGGUAAUACGAACUGUCCAAACGUUAUUCGGAAUCACUGGGCUUAAAGGGUGCGUAGGCGGCGUAGUAAGUUGGAUGUGAAAUCCUACGGCUCAACCGUAGAAUUGCGUUCAAUACUGCUAUGCUUGAGGGAGAUAGAGGUAAGCGGAACUUCGGGUGGAGCGGUGAAAUGCGUAGAUAUCCGAAGGAACACCAGUGGCGAAAGCGGCUUACUGGGUCUCUUCUGACGCUGAGGCACGAAAGCUAGGGUAGCGAACGGGAUUAGAUA